UUCAAGUAAUCCAGGAUAGGCUGUUCAGUGAAACUCUGGCCUGUCCUUGACUACUUGGCUC
rnacentral:pre_miRNA from 1 species